rnacentral:rRNA from 1 species
GACGAACGCUGGCGGCGUGCCUAAUACAUGCAAGUCGAACGAGAGCGACCGGUGCUUGCACUGGUCAAUCUAGUGGCGAACGGGUGAGUAACACGUGGGUAACCUGCCCAUCAGAGGGGGAUAACAUCCGGAAACGGAUGCUAAAACCGCACAGGUCUUCGAGCCGCAUGGCUUGAAGAGGAAAAGAGGCGCAAGCUUCUGCUGAUGGAUGGACCCGCGGUGCAUUAGCUAGUUGGUGAGGUAACGGCUCACCAAGGCCGUGAUGCAUAGCCGACCUGAGAGGGUGAUCGGCCACAUUGGGACUGAGACACGGCCCAAACUCCUACGGGAGGCAGCAGUAGGGAAUCUUCCGCAAUGGACGCAAGUCUGACGGAGCAACGCCGCGUGAGUGAAGAAGGUUUUCGGAUUGUAAAACUCUGUUGUUAGAGAAGAACAAGUGCUAGAGUAACUGUUAGCGCCUUGACGGUAUCUAACCAGAAAGCCACGGCUAACUACGUGCCAGCAGCCGCGGUAAUACGUAGGUGGCAAGCGUUGUCCGGAUUUAUUGGGCGUAAAGCGAGCGCAGGCGGUUCCUUAAGUCUGAUGUGAAAGCCCCCGGCUCAACCGGGGAGGGUCAUUGGAAACUGGGGAACUUGAGUGCAGAAGAGGAGAGUGGAAUUCCAUGUGUAACGGUGAAAUGCGUAGAUAUAUGGAGGAACACCAGUGGCGAAGGCGACUCUCUGGUCUGUAACUGACGCUGAGGCUCGAAAGCGUGGGUAGCAAACAGG